UUGUUGCUUUACCGGGCUAGUUGCUCCCAUGU
rnacentral:piRNA from 1 species